rnacentral:tRNA from 1 species
GAGGGCAGAGCUCAGUGGUAGAGCACAUGCUUAGCAUCCAUGAGGUCCUGGGUUCAAGCCCCAGCACCUUCA